UACGAAGGGGGCUAGCGUUGCUCGGAAUCACUGGGCGUAAAGCGCACGUAGGCGGCUUUCUAAGUCAGGGGUGAAAUCCUGGAGCUCAACUCCAGAACUGCCUUUGAUACUGGAGAGCUUGAGUCCGGGAGAGGUGAGUGGAACUCCGAGUGUAGAGGUGAAACUCGUAGAUAUUCGGAAGAACACCAGUGGCGAAGGCGGCUCACUGGCCCGGUACUGACGCUGAGGUGCGAAAGCGUGGGGAGCAAACAGG
rnacentral:rRNA from 1 species